CUCCCAUCCAAGUACUAACCAGGCCUGACCCUGUUUAGCUUCUGAGAUCAGAUGAGAUUGGGC
rnacentral:sRNA from 1 species